rnacentral:rRNA from 1 species
GCCUGUUUAUCAAAAACAUCGCCUCUUGCUAAAAAAGAAGUAUUAGAGGUCCCGCCUGCCCUGUGACCACAGUGUUUAACGGCCGCGGUAUCCUGACCGUGCGAAGGUAGCGUAAUCACUUGUCUUUUAAAUGAAGACCUGUAUGAAUGGCAUCACGAAGGUUCAACUGUCUCCUUCCCCCAGUCAAUGAAAUUGAUCUGCCCGUGCAGAAGCGGACAUAAAAACAUAAGACGAGAAGACCCUGUGGAGCUUUAGGCCAAGGAUCAAACAUGUAAAACAGACUCAAACCCUAAAAAGAAUAAUAAAAGUCCAAAAACCAAGAGUAACCUGAUCCUAAUGCCUUCGGUUGGGGCGACCGCGGGGGAAAAUAAAGCCCCCACAUGGAAUGGAACUACUUCCUAAACCAAGAGUUACAACUCUAAGUAACAGAAUUUCUGACCACCUAUGACCCAGGACAAACAUAAACCUGAUCAAUGAACCAAGUUACCCCAGGGAUAACAGCGCAAUCCUUUCCCAGAGUCCAUAUCGACGAAAGGGUUUACGACCUCGAUGUUGGAUCAGGACAUCCUAAUGGUGCAGCCGCUAUUAAGGGUUCGUUUGUUCAACGAUUAAUAGUCCUACGUGAUCUGAGU